UACGUAGGGUGCAAGCGUUAAUCGGAAUUACUGGGCGUAAAGCGUGCGCAGGCGGUUGUGCAAGACAGAUGUGAAAUCCCCGGGCUCAACCUGGGAACUGACAUUGUGACUGCACGGCUGGAGUGCGGCAGAGGGGGAUGGAAUUCCGCGUGUAGCAGUGAAAUGCGUAGAUAUGCGGAGGAACACCGAUGGCGAAGGACAAUCCCCUGGGCCUGCACUGGACGCUCGAGGAGCGAAAGCGUGGGGAGCGAACAGGAUUGAGAUACC
rnacentral:rRNA from 1 species